CUCCAUCGGCGGGCACAGCGACGCAGAAGAGAGCAGCAGGCGCUGCGGGAGCUGGCGGAGGAAAACCUGGCCUUCACCAGCUACAUCAGGAUGCUGCAGUCGACGAAUAGGAGACUACGGGAGAGCAACGGCAGCCUGCGCUCAGCCCUGCUGCUGGGCGCCUCCGGGGGCCCCAGAGCGGUGAGC